CCCUAUACUUCUUCAUAUAAAUCCAAAUUCCAAAGAUUUAUUCUCAAACCUCAAUAUUAUAAUUCUCUCAUUCAUAUCUAUUCUUCAUCAAUACUUCCAAUUGUCUACUUACAAUUCUCUACUGUAUUCAUCUACAAUAAAUUCUAUACUUCAUAUACAAUAUUAAAUUUCUUUUUUAUUUUAGAAUUUCACUUCAUAUUAUUCAAAAACUAUCCAUUACUCUUGAAGUACAAAGAAACAAAGAGGUAGCACGAAGCUUAUC
rnacentral:lncRNA from 1 species